UAAUAGAAUAGGCUUGCAAGGGCGGUCGGCUAGUCUCCCGGAAGGGAGGUGAUGCCUGAUGGAAGUAUUUCAAACACUAACGCUUAUGAUCUCAUUUGCGUCUUUAGUUGUUCUUAUACUUUCUUUCCAUAAUAAAAAGUAGACCGCCCUCUCACUAAGGUAUUCGGUCUACUUUUUGUCCAUUAUCCUUUUGUUGCAGCCACCGCCCUUAAGAGCGGCUAUUACUGGGGAGUCAUGUUAGCGCAUGGCUC
rnacentral:sRNA from 1 species